UGACAACCUGGUUGAUCCUGCCAGUAGUCAUAUGCUUGUCUCAAAGAUUAAGCCAUGCAUGUCUCAGUACGAGCCGCAUUAAGGUGAAACCGCGAAAGGCUCAUUAAAUCAGUUAUGGUUCCUUAGAUCGUACCCACAUUUACUUGGAUAACUGUGGUAAUUCUAGAGCUAAUACAUGCAGACAGAGCUCCGACCGGAGACGGAAGGAGUGCUUUUAUUAGAACAAAACCAAUCGGCGGCGGCGGCGUUCGCGCGCCGCCGUUCGCCGCAUUACCUGGUGAAUCUGAAUAACUUUCGGCUGAUCGCACGGUCUCGCACCGGCGACGCAUCUUUCAAAUGUCUGCCUUAUCAACUGUCGAUGGUAGGUUCUGCGCCUACCAUGGUCGUAACGGGUAACGGGGAAUCAGGGUUCGAUUCCGGAGAGGGAGCCUGAGAAACGGCUACCACAUCCAAGGAAGGCAGCAGGCGCGCAAAUUACCCACUCCCGGCACGGGGAGGUAGUGACGAAAAAUAACGAUACGGGACUCAUCCGAGGCCCCGUAAUCGGAAUGAGUACACUUUAAAUCCUUUAACGAGGACCCAUUGGAGGGCAAGUCUGGUGCCAGCAGCCGCGGUAAUUCCAGCUCCAAUAGCGUAUAUUAAAGUUGUUGCGGUUAAAAAGCUCGUAGUUGAAUCUGUGUCUCGCGCUGUCGGUUCACCGCCCGCGGUGUUAAACUGGCACGCCCGCGAGACGUCCUGCCGGUGGGACGGCGCGGCCCGGGUCGUUCGCGGCUCGCGGUCGCCGGUCCCGGCUACAAAUCCUACCGCGGUGCUCUUCGCUGAGUGUCGAGGUGGGCCGGCACGUUUACUUUGAACAAAUUAGAGUGCUCAAAGCAGGCUAAAACUUCGCCUGAAUACCGUGUGCAUGGAAUAAUGGAACAGGACCUCGGUUCUAUUUUGUUGGUUUUCGGAACCCCGAGGUAAUGAUUAAUAGGGACAGAUGGGGGCAUUCGUAUUGCGACGUUAGAGGUGAAAUUCUUGGAUCGUCGCAAGACGAACGGAAGCGAAAGCAUUUGCCAAAAAUGUUUUCAUUAAUCAAGAACGAAAGUCAGAGGCCCGAAGGCGAUCAGAUACCGCCCUAGUUCUGACCAUAAACGAUGCCAGCUAGCGAUCCGCCGACGUUCCUCCGAUGACUCGGCGGGCAGCUUCCGGGAAACCAAAGCUUUUGGGUUCCGGGGGAAGUAUGGUUGCAAAGCUGAAACUUAAAGGAAUUGACGGAAGGGCACCACCAGGAGUGGAGCCUGCGGCUUAAUUUGACUCAACACGGGAAACCUCACCAGGCCCGGACACCGGAAGGAUUGACAGAUUGAGAGCUCUUUCUUGAUUCGGUGGGUGGUGGUGCAUGGCCG
rnacentral:rRNA from 1 species